ensembl:snRNA U6 U6 spliceosomal RNA
GUGCUCCUUUUGGCAGCACAUAUAUUAAGAAUUGAAAUAAUACAGAGAUUAGCUUGGCCCCUGCCCAAGGAUGACACGAAAAUUUGUAAAGCUGUUCAUAUUUUU